CUUGUAUAUUAUAGCCAACGAUUACCCUCGUCCCGCCCAACCGACGGGAGGGUCGCAAUCGGCAAACGAGCGGAAUUAGCCGAGUCAUAAAAGUAAGCAGUGUUGUCACAGCACUAAAUCCACGUUCACACAAAUAUGCCGAUGGGAAUGCUAUCAAGAAUCGUUGAACGAUUGACCACAAUCCAGGGUACAAUUGCGAGAUCGGUUUUUGUAGCCAAAAUUCUUGCUGAGGUGACAUUGCUGUGUUGACAUUUGAAAACGGAUCCAACACCCAGUCUGGUAUUUCCAAGUUCAAAAUGUCCUGGUAUCGUUCGGUGAAGUCAAUGUGGAAGUUUUCCAAAUGUUGGCAGUAGGCAAACAAUUCAUCGUUACUGCAUGAUACUGAUAAAUUCGGAAAAUUGUGAAACUCACAUCUGCCCAGAUUCUUUCUGUGUAGAAGCAGUUUGGCUGCGAAAGCAGCAACGACGUUUUUUGUUUUAAUUAAAUUUAGUUUAUCGCCUUGCAGUUGGAGAUUCAUGUCGUUGAACAAUUUAUACAGGUCUGUCAUGUAAGUUAUAUCUUUCUUUGAUGUUAUGAGCAUGUCUUGAAAUUCUGUAUCUUUAGUUUCCAAGAACUCUAUAACAGAGUCAAACAGGUUGUAGAAUCAGGUCAGACAAUUGCCUCGUGAUAGCCAACGAACUUCAGUAUGAAACAACAAACGAUUGAAAUCCUCGUCAUUAGUAACACAAAGCUGAUGAAAUAAUUUAUCAUUCAAAAAGCUGUUGCGGAUUUUAUUGACUGCUUUGAUGACAUAUUGCAGUGAUUGAAAUAGUUUUUCACUUAAGUUUCUAGCAACUAAAUGUUGUCUAUGAAUAAGGCAAUGUACACCAAGGACAU